GGAGUUAGCCGGUGCUUCUUCUGUGAGUGAUGUCCUUCCUGCCGGCUAUUAACCCGCAGGCCUUCUUCCUCACUGAAAGUGCUUUACAACCCGAAGGCCUUCUUCACACACGCGGCAUGGCUGGAUCAGGGUUGCCCCCAUUGUCCAAUAUUCCCCACUGCUGCCUCCCGUAGGAGUCUGGGCCGUGUCUCAGUCCCAGUGUGGCUGAUCAUCCUCUCAGACCAGCUACGGAUCGUCGCCUUGGUGAGCCGUUACCUCACCAACCAGCUAAUCCGACAUAGGCUCAUCCGAUAGCGCGAGGCCCGAAGGUCCCCCGCUUUCCCCGUAGGGCGUAUGCGGUAUUAGCCUGGGUUUCCCCAGGUUAUCCCCCACUACCGGGCAGAUUCCUAUGCAUUACUCACCCGUCCGCCGCUCGCCACCAGGGAGCAAGCUCCCCGUGCUGCCGCUCGACUUGCAUGUGUUAGGCCUGCCGCCAGCGUUCAAUCUGAGCCAGGAUCAAACUCUGA
rnacentral:rRNA from 1 species